CACGUGCAGGCCCGAGAAGGCAAAAGAGGCCCAGCCACUCUCACCGGAGAUUUUAUCCGCCUCCCCGGCACACACACACUCUCACUCACGCACUCGCUCGCCGGCCUUCCAGCUGUCUGUGUCCGGGGCGGGGACCGGCUUGGCACCGACCGCUGCGGGCGGGGCAGAGCGCGCCGCCCGCUGUCAGCGCUCGCCGGCUCCUCGCGCCCCUGCCCGCUGCGCUCUGCCCAGAGCAGAAGCCCGGCCGGCCGGCCCACGGGCGGGAGGACGGGCCUCCGCUCGGGCGGAGGCGGCGCGGUGGCUGAUCAGAGAGCGGAGGGCCUCGCCGGGGCCGGGAGCUGGGCGCGGUCCUGCUCAGCCCAGCUCGCCGCGCGCCGGCCCUCGGCGCCCUGGUUCUGCGGAUCAGGAGUUGAAACCAGCACCUUCCCUUUCUCUGAGUCCUGCCUCCUUCUGCAGAAGGGAGCUCAAAAGAACUUUGUUGUUUUGCCUUUUACUCUGGGGUGAAAGCGGCAGACGAUGAGGAGAAAAUAAUGAAUGUCAAAGGAAAAGUAAUUCUGUCAAUGCUGGUUGUCUCAACUGUGAUCAUUGUGUUUUGGGAAUUUAUCAACAGCACAGAAGGCUCUUUCUUGUGGAUAUAUCACUCAAAAAACCCAGAAGUUGAUGACAGCAGUGCUCAGAAGGGCUGGUGGUUUCUGAGCUGGUUUAACAAUGGGAUCCACAAUUAUCAACAAGGGGAAGAAGACAUAGACAAAGAAAAAGGAAGAGAGGAGACCAAAGGAAGGAAAAUGACACAACAGAGCUUCGGCUAUGGGACUGGUUUAAUCCAAAAUAUAGUGAGCAUUACUUGGAGGAGUUCAUAACAUCUGCUAAUAGGUACUUCAUGGUUGGCCACAAAGUCAUAUUUUACAUCAUGGUGGAUGAUGUCUCCAAGGUGCCGUUUAUAGAGCUGGGUCCUCUGCAUUCCUUCAAAAUGUUUGAGGUCAAGCCAGAGAAGAGGUGGCAAGACAUCAGCAUGAUGCGUAUGAAGAUCACUGGGGAGCACAUCUUGGCCCACAUCCAACACGAGGUCGACUUCCUCUUCUGCAUGGAUGUGGACCAGGUCUUCCAAGACCAUUUUGGGGUGGAGACCCUAGGCCAGUCAGUGGCUCAGCUACAGGCUGGCGGUACAAGGCAGAUCCCUAUGACUUUACCUAGGAGAGGUGGAAAGAGUCAGCAGGAUACAUUCCAUUUGGCCAGGGGAUUUUUAUUACCAUGCAGCCAUUUUUGGAGGAACACCCAUUCAGGUUCUCAACAUCACCCAGGAGUGCUUUAAGGGAAUCCUCCUGGACAAGAAAAAUGACAUAGAAGCCGAGUGGCAUGAUGAAAGCCACCUAAACAAGUAUUUCCUUCUCAAUAAACCCUCUAAAAUCUUAUCCCUAAAAUACUGCUGGGAUUAUCAUAUAGGCCUGCCUUCAGAUAUUAAAACUGUCAAGUGAUCGUGGCAGACAAAAGAGUAUAAUUUGGUUAGAAAUAAUGUCUGACUUCAAAUUGUGCCAGUAGAUUUCUGAAUUUGAGAGAGAAAUAUUCUGGCUACUUCCUCAGAAAAGUAACACUUAAUUUUAACUUCAAAAAAUACUAAUGAAACACCAACAGGGCAAAAACAUACCAUUCCUCCUUGUAACUUGGGGCUUUGUAAUGUGGAAGAAUGAAUCUAGGGUAAUCAGAUAUAAAUUCCCAGUGAUUUCUUAUCUAUUCUGGGUUUGGGGGAAAUACUAUCAACUGAACCAAAAAUAACUUGUCAUAGGCAGAGAUAAAGCCAGAAACACUCUACACAUGCCAGAUGACAUCUGGAGAAAAGGGUGCUAAGGGAAGCGUUUGGCAGCAAGAUAUGAUUGUAAGGGGUUGUCCCUUGAGUUCAAUGUCUGCCUAUUUCUGAUGGGUCUAAAGCAACAUGGAGUUACUGUGCAGCAGAGCUCUCAGUAAAGACACCAUUUGCCUUGGCAAUCCUCAAAAAGCUUCAAUAGCAGAUUGCUUCAGACCAUCUGUAGUCCGUCCUUUUCUCAUCUGGAUGUUGUUUGGCUUCUGUGCGAAAGAUUGGUGGAGUAUCCCAGUAGAUAUCAUGGUGGUGUGUGAUCAGAGUCCCAAGGAACCUGAAUGAGCCAAGGUGCCCAGCAUGAAGUCAAAACAAAGCCUUGACAUGAGUUUGCCAUGAAAUAGCGAAGAGAGAGUGGAAGAGAGGAGCCAAUCACUGUGGGGCAGUGCCACCCUGAGGGCACUUAGGGUAUGGGGUUGGUGCUUAAAUACAUCACAGAUCCGGGUACUGAAUGGGAGGAAGUGUGGGUGAUUUCCAAUCUCAUUGACCCUAUGUUCAGGGACUUGAACGGAAGAUGUUUCUUGUGUUGCCUAAGUGGUAUUCAGUCUACCAGACUCUGCAACUUGCAUCUUCAAAUCCUUGGUAAAGAGAUGUGGAUGGUGUCAGAGAAGGCAAAGGCCUGCAGUGGAUUGAAGAGGCUUGCAAGCAGUUCUGUUUCUAGGAUGUGGGCUUCAUCAGAAGACACUCAGUCACCACUUAGCUAGUCUAAACCUCAGGGUUCCUCAGCCCAUCAUACCCCAACUUGGAGGACUGACAUCAAGGAGUAGACUGGAGAAACAGCCCUCCCAUCAAGUAACCUCUUGUUCUCUCCUGCUCCAUCUGCACUAUGGAAGUGUAACAAUUAGACAUACUUGGCAAAAUGGCUAAUUGAUUUGGUAACAGAAGCAUGAGCCAUAACAAUGGAAGAUCUAGUUAUCAUGACUGAACAGCUUAACAUUCAAUUCCCUUCUCUAAGAGAAGCUGUGAAAUCCUACAUAUUAUUUAAAGUUAACCAAAUCAAUGUAAAGGGAGUUAGGAGACAGUGUGUACCUAUGCACAUAUAUUUAUGUUUUGCUUGUGUUCCAGUCUCGGUCAUUUGUUUCCAUUUUCAAGCAAUUUAUUUGAAGAGCCAUUGCACUAGCCUGAUGUAUACUGCAAUGAGCUUCUUUGAUAAAAUGAAACUUAGAUUUUUCUCGACCAUUUCACCGUGCCUCCUACUUCAUUUUUUGCCAGAAAAUCUCACAUCCAACAAAACAAAACAAAAACCCUGAAUUAGUGGGCUUUGAAAAGGAAAAAGCAGGGCUUUGAAAAAGUAGAUCACACAUCAGUUAAGACUCCUGCUUCUCUAUUAGUCAGGUUGUCUUGGAUUCAGUCUGGAGUAGGCAGAGCUUAAGGGUUUUUAAGUCCUGACCCAAAGAAAUGAUCUAGCCUGAAAGUUUAGAGCAAAGGACUAAUGUUUACUUUUAAAGGAAUUUCUUGAUUUUUUAAAAAAACUUCAUUAAAGUUUAAAUCUCCAAUGGACAAAUUCAUAAUCUUGUUCAUCGUUAUUACUAAACUUUUUUUUAAAUGUCCCAAUUUACAAUUAAAUAAAUUAUUUUCUCAGU